UAGGCUGUCUUCAACAUGGAGCAGUUGCAUCAUGAUGUGGCUUUGGAAGACAUUGUCAUUAGUCUGUUGUUGUGAACAGAUCACUUUUUAGCUCACUGAUGUCAUCUCACCUCACGAGGACAGACACCUUGUUAGAUCCGAUGGUCCUGGUCAGUCCCAGGAUGCACUUUAGUCUACUGAGCAUCUCUGCAAGAUAAAUUUGUGCAUGAAGAGACACCUAGAGCACCAUUGGAGGAAAACGAGAGUGAAUCUUAGCAUAGAUCUUUAGACCAAGCUGGAUUGUCUUUGCCUGAUGCCUAAGAUCAGGUGAUGUCGAGAAGAGGAAAACGCCUUGUAUCUGAGGAGAAAGAGUGGACAACGUCUGCCCUUCACUCCGGAUCAAAAAAGCAACAUUCUCAAACUCCACUUGUAUGAUAGACCAAAGGUCAAAGUGCUCCUGCAGAGUGCGAAGAAAAUGAUUGUCGGUUUGAAUACAUUGAAUCCUGG